rnacentral:ncRNA from 1 species
UUCUUCAGGGCGGGGUGCAAUUCCCCACUGGCGGUACAGUCCGCGACCCGCCGCAGGGCGGCUGAUUUGGUGCGAUUCCAAAACCAACAGUUACAGUCUGGAUGGAAGAAGA